UCGGGGAAUUUUGGGCAAUGGGCGAAAGCCUGACCCAGCAACGCCGCGUGAAGGAUGAAGUAUUUCGGUAUGUAAACUUCGAAAGAAUAGGAAGAAUAAAUGACGGUACUAUUUAUAAGGUCCGGCUAACUACGUGCCAGCAGCCGCGGUAAUACGUAGGGACCAAGCGUUGUUCGGAUUUACUGGGCGUAAAGGGCGCGUAGGCGGCAAUUCAAGUCAUCUGUGAAAUCUCCGGGCUUAACUCGGAACGGUCAGAUGAUACUGCUUUGCUAGAGUGCAGAAGGGGCAAUCGGAAUUCUUGGUGUAGCGGUGAAAUGCGUAGAUAUCAAGAGGAACACCUGAGGUGAAGACGGGUUGCUGGGCUGACACUGACGCUGAGGCGCGAAAGCC
rnacentral:rRNA from 1 species